AGAGUUUGAUCCUUGCUCAGGAUGAACGCUGGCGGCAUGCUUAAUACAUGCAAGACAAAUGGUCCUUACGGACAAUGUCGGACGGGUGAGUAAUGUGUAAGAAUCAACAUUUGGGUGGGGGACAACAGAUGGAAACGUUUGCUAAUACCCCAUAAUACUAUUUAGUUAAAGAAUUUCGCCCAGAUAUGAGCUUGCAUCUGAUUAGCUAGUUGGUUAGGUAAGAGCUAACCAAGGCUUUGAUCAGUAGCUGGUUUGAGAAGAUGAUCAGCCACACUGGGACUGAGACACGGAACAGACUCCUACGGGAGGCAGCAGUAGGGAAUAUUUCGCAAUGGGUGAAAGCCUGACGAAGCAAUGCCGCGUGGAGGAAUUAAGGCCUUUGGGUCGUAAACUCCUUUUCUCAUUGAAGAAGUUCUGACGGUAUUUGAGGAAUAAGCAUCGGCAAUUUUCGUGCCAGCAGCCGCGGUAAUACGAGAGAUGCAAGCGUUAUCCGGAAUUAUUGGGCGUAAAGAGUUUGUAGGUGGUUAAAUGUGUUUAAUGUUAAAACUUAGAACUCAACUCUAAAAUGGCAUUAAAAACUAUUUGACUUGAGUAUGAUAGAGGUAAAGGGAAUUCCCAGUGUAGCGGUGAAAUGCGUAGAUCUUGGGAAGAACACCAGUGGCGAAAGCGCUUUGCUAGGUUAAUACUGACACUGAGAAACGAAAGCUAAGGUAGCAAACAAGAUUAGAUACCUUGGUAGUCUUAGCUGUAAACUAUGGAUACUAAGUGGUGCUUUUUGUACUGCUGUAGCUAACGCGUUAAGUAUCCCGCCUGGGGAGUACGCUUGCAAAAGUGAAACUCAAAGGAAUUGACGGGGGCCCGCACAAGCGGUGGAACAUGCGAUUUAAUACGAUGCUACACGAAAAACCUUACCAGGAUUUGACAUGCUAGGAAGUUUUUCGAAAGAUAAAUGUGCCUCUUGAGGAGCCUAGACACAGCUGGUGCAUGGCUGUCGUCAGCUCGUGUCGUGAGAUGUUGGGUUAAGUCCCGUAACGAGCGCAACCCUCGUUUUUAGUUGUCUUUUCGAGAUCUAAAGAGACUGCCGGUUAUAAAUCGGAGGAAGGUGGGGAUGACGUCAAGUCAUCAUGCCGUUUAUAUCCUGGGCUAUACGCGUGUUACAAUGGUUAAGACAAUGAGUUGCGAAUCCGCGAGGAUAGUGCUAAUCUCAAAAACUUAAUCUUAGUUCGGAUUGUAGGCUGCAACUCGUCUGCAUGAAGGUGGAAUCGCUAGUAAUCGCCAGUCAGCUAUAUGGCGGUGAAUUCGUUCCCGGGCCUUGUACACACCGCCCGUCACAUCAUGGAAGUUGGCCAUGCCCGAAGGUGUUAUCUUAACUUUAUAGAGAGAGACACUUAAGGCCGGGUUAGUGACUAAGAUGAAGUCGUAACAAGGUAGCCGUACUGGAAGGUGCGGCUGGAACAACU
rnacentral:rRNA from 1 species